rnacentral:rRNA from 1 species
GACGAACGCUGGCGGCGUGCUUAACACAUGCAAGUCGAACGGAAAGGCCCUGCUUUUGUGGGGUGCUCGAGUGGCGAACGGGUGAGUAACACGUGAGUAACCUGCUCUUGACUUUGGGAUAACUUCAGGAAACUGGGGCUAAUACCGGAUAGGAGCUCCUGCUGCAUGGGGGGGUUUGGAAAUUUUCGGCGGUUGGGGAUGGACUCGCGGCGUAUCAGUUUGUUGGUGGGGUAGUGGCUUACCAAGGCUUGGACGGGUAGCCGGCCUGAGAGGGUGACCGGCCACAUUGGGACUGAGAUACGGCCCAGACUCCUACGGGAGGCAGCAGUGGGGAAUAUUGCACAAUGGGCGGAAGCCUGAUGCAGCAACGCCGCGUGCGGGAUGACGGCCUUCGGGUUGUAAACCGCUUUCGCCUGGGAAGAAGCGAGAGUGACGGUAAUGGGUGAAGAAGCACCGGCUAACUACGUG